rnacentral:lncRNA from 1 species
UAGGGUUUAGGGUUUAGGGUUUAGGGUUUAGGGUUUAGGGUUUAGGGUUUAGGGUUUAGGGUUUAGGGUUUAGGGUUUAGGGUUUAGGGUUUAGGAUUUAUGGUUUACAGUUUAGGGUUUAUAGUUUAGGGUUUAGGGUGUUGGGUUUAGAGUUUUAGGUUUAAGGUUUAGAUUUUUAGGUUUAGGGUUUAGGGUUUAGGAUUUGGGGUUUAUGGUUUAGGGUUUAGGGUUCAUGGUUUUAUAGUUUAGGAUUUAGGGUUUAGGGUUUACGUUUUAGGGUUUAGGAUGUAUGGUUUAAGGUUUAGGCUUUAGGGUUUGGGGUUUAGGGUUUAGGAUGUAUGGUUUUGAUUUUUUAGAUUUAGGGUUUAGAUUUUUAGGGCUUAGGGUUUAGGGCUUAGGGUUUAGGGUCUAGGGCCUAGGGUUUAGUGUUCAAGGUUUAGGGUUCAGGUUUUAGAGUUUAGGGUUGAUAUUUAGGGUUUUAGGUUUAGGGUUUAGGCUAUAGGGUAUAAGGUAUAGGGCUUAUGGUUUACUAUUUAGGGUUUAGGGUUUAUGGUUUAAGGUUUUGUGUUUGGGGUUUUGUGAUUAGGGUUUAGGGUAUAUGGUAUACGAUAUAGGGUUUAGGGUUUAAGAAUUUGGGUUUAGGGUUUAUGGUUUACGGUUUACGGUUUAUAGUUUAAGGUUUAGGGUUAAUGGUUUAGGGUUGAUGGUUUUAGGGUUUAGGAUUUAGGGUUUAGGGUUUAGGAUAUAUGGUUUACGGUUUGGGGUUUAGGGUUUAGGAUUUGGGGUUUAGGGUUUUGUUUUAGGGUUUAGGGUUUUGGCUUUAGGGUUUAGGGUUUAGGGUUUAGGGUUUAGAGUUUAUGGUUAAGGGUUUAGGGUUUAGAGUGUAGGGUUUAGAUUUUUAGGUUUAGGGUUUAGAUUUUUAGGUUUAGGGUUUAGGGUUUUGGGCUUAGGGUAUAGGGUGUAGGGUUCAGCGUUUAGGGUUCAGGUUUUUAAGGUUCAGAGUUUUGGGUUUAGGGUUUAGGGUUUAGAUUUAGGGUAUAAGGUAUAGGGUAUAGGGCUUAUGGUUUACGGUUUACGGUUUAUGGUUUAUGGUUUAGGGUUUUGGGUUUAGAGUUCUGUGAUUAGGGUUUAGGGUAUAGGGUAUAUAGGGUAUAGGGUUUAGGGUUUAGGGAUGUGGGUUUAAGGGUUUGUGUUUAGGGUUUACGGUUAAGGAUUUAGGGUUUAGGGUUUAGGGCUUAGGGCUUAGGGUUUAUGGUUUAGGCUUUAGGGUGUAGGGUUUAUGGUUUAGGAUUUAUGGUUUAGGGUUUUGAGGAUUAAAUAAUUUAACUAUUUGUGAAUUUUUUUUUUUUUGUCAAUGAAUUUGGUUGACUUUGUGCAUAGAGUUGUGAAAUGUGUACGUGGUUGUGAAUGCAAGCGUUUUGUUAUUUUGCUUAGAAUUUUG